UACGGGGGGGGCAAGCGUUGUUCGGAAUUACUGGGCGUAAAGGGCUCGUAGGCGGCCAACUAAGUCAGACGUGAAAUCCCUCGGCUUAACCGGGGAACUGCGUCUGAUACUGGAUGGCUUGAGAUUGGGAGAGGGAUGCGGAAUUCCAGGUGUAGCGGUGAAAUGCGUAGAUAUCUGGAGGAACACCGGCGGCGAAGGCGGCAUCCUGGACCAACACUGACACUGAGGAGCGAAAGCCAGGGGAGCAAACGGG
rnacentral:rRNA from 1 species